CCUACGGGAGGCAGCAGUGGGGAAUAUUGGGCAAUGGGCGCAAGCCUGACCCAGCAACGCCGCGUGAAGGAAGAAGGCUUUCGGGUUGUAAACUUCUUUUAAGGGGGAAGAGCAUAAGACGGUACCCCUUGAAUAAGCCACGGCUAACUACGUGCCACCAGCCGCGGUAAUACGUAGGUGGCAAGCGUUGUCCGGAUUUACUGGGUGUAAAGGGCGUGCAGCCGGAGAGACAAGUCAGAUGUGAAAUCCACGGGCUCAACACGUGAACUGCAUUUGAAACUGUUUCCCUUGAGUGUCGGAGAGGUAAUCGGAAUUCCUUGUGUAGCGGUGAAAUGCGUAGAUAUAAGGAAGAACACCAGUGGCGAAGGCGGAUUACUGGACGGUAACUGACGGUGAGGCGCGAAAGCGUGGGGAGCAAACAGGAUUAGAUACCCCAGUAGUC
rnacentral:rRNA from 1 species